GCCGGAGGAUGCAAUCGUUAUCCGGAAUUAUUGGGCGUAAAGGGUGCGUAGGUGGUCAGACAAGUCCCAUGUCAAAGCAUGGUGCUUAACGCCAUAAAGGCGUGGGAAACUGUGUGACUAGAGUACAGCAGGGGCAGGAGGAAUUCCAGGUGUAGCGGUGAAAUGCGUAGAUAUCGGGAAGAACACCAGUGGCGCAAGCGUUCUGCUGGGCUGUAACUGACACUGAGGCACGAAAGCUAGGGGAGAGAAAGGG
rnacentral:rRNA from 1 species